rnacentral:piRNA from 1 species
AAAACACAAUCAAACAGGUAGAAG